CGCUAGUCUCUCAUUAUUAUUAACUCUCUGUCUUCUCUCUCAAGCGGCCGGGUUGUUCCUUCUUUUAGUUCUUCUUUGCUAAUCAUCUUGGUAAGUAUCCCAAAAUGGAGUCUAAUGGAGACGUCAACGGAUCUCAUAAUGCUUCCACCACAGAAGAGUCGCGAUCAAGUGCUAAUUUGCCUUCACAAAACACAUUUUGGACAUCAUGCCGCGCGUGUAACAUACACUAUGAGUACUUUCGAGUUUAUUGUAAUAGAGUUCUGGAGUGCCCUAAUUGCAAACAACCAUUCAGGGCUUUAGAAAUCCAAGCUCCAAAUGUAAGGUUUCCCUCUUCAAGUUAUUUUCGACUCAAUUAAAUAAGGUCGAAAUUUUUUGCAUACAUAAAUAAUAGAAAGGAGUUUCUUCUC